CGCUGCCUUCGACAGCUGUACUUUCACAAAAAAAUUUUUUGUCACAAGUUGUUAUCCUUGUCCUGGGCCAAACAUGAAUCCUAUUGCUCUUGGGAGCCGUUGGCUUGCUUAUGCAGAAAAUAAGCUGAUUCGCUGUCACCAGUCCCGUGGCGGAGCCUGUGGAGACAACAUUCAGUCUUACACUGCCACUGUCAUUAGUGCUGCUAAAGUGAGUACCUCACAAGUUUCUAGAAGUUGUGAUUCUGUGGAACAGUUCCCAUGUUUGACUGCUGACUCAUGACGAGAUUGUCCAUUCCAUUUUCAUUCCCAAGUGUCAAAUAAAUGUAAGAAGUCAG
rnacentral:lncRNA from 1 species